UUAUACCGUGAAACUGCGAAUGGCUCAUUAAAUCAGUUAUCGUUUAUUUGAUAGUACCUUACUACUUGGAUAACCGUGGUAAUUCUAGAGCUAAUACAUGCUAAAAACCCCGACUUCGGAAGGGGUGUAUUUAUUAGAUAAAAAACCAACGCCCUUCGGGGCUUCUUGGUGAUUCAUGAUAACUUUACGGAUCGCAUGGCCUUGCGCCGGCGACGGUUCAUUCAAAUUUCUGCCCUAUCAACUUUCGAUGGUAAGGUAUUGGCUUACCAUGGUUUCAACGGGUAACGGGGAAUUAGGGUUCGAUUCCGGAGAGGGAGCCUGAGAAACGGCUACCACAUCCAAGGAAGGCAGCAGGCGCGCAAAUUACCCAAUCCCGACACGGGGAGGUAGUGACAAUAAAUACUGAUACAGGGCUCUUUUGGGUCUUGUAAUUGGAAUGAGUACAAUUUAAACCUCUUAACGAGGAACAAUUGGAGGGCAAGUCUGGUGCCAGCAGCCGCGGUAAUUCCAGCUCCAAUAGCGUAUAUUAAAGUUGUUGCAGUUAAAAAGCUCGUAGUUGAAACUUGGGUCUGGCUGGCAGGUCCGCCUCACCGCGUGUACUUGUCCGGCCGGGCCUUCCUUCUGGAGAACCUCAUGCCCUUCACUGGGCGUGUUGGGGACCAGGACUUUUACUUUGAAAAAAUUAGAGUGUUCAAAGCAGGCCUUUGCUCGAAUACGUUAGCAUGGAAUAAUAGAAUAGGACGUGCGGUCCUAUUUUGUUGGUUUCUAGGACCGCCGUAAUGAUUAAUAGGGACAGUCGGGGGCAUCAGUAUUCAAUUGUCAGAGGUGAAAUUCUUGGAUUUAUUGAAGACUAACUACUGCGAAAGCAUUUGCCAAGGAUGUUUUCAUUAAUCAGUGAACGAAAGUUAGGGGAUCGAAGACGAUCAGAUACCGUCGUAGUCUUAACCGUAAACUAUGCCGACUAGGGAUCGGGCGAUGUUCUUUUUCUGACUCGCUCGGCACCUUACGAGAAAUCAAAG
rnacentral:rRNA from 1 species